UACGUAGGGUCCAAGCGUUUAUCCGGAAUCACUGGGCGUAAAGCGUGCGUAGGUGGCGUGUUAAGUGUGAUGUUAAAUCGCGGGGCUCAACCCUGUCGGUGCAUCGCAUACUGGCAUGCUAGAGGGAAGCAGAGGCAAGUGGAAUUUGUAGUGUAGCAGUGAAAUGCGUAGAUAUUACAAGGAACACCAAUGGCGAAGGCAGCUUGGCUGGGCUUCUUCUGACACUGAGGUACGAAAGCGUGGGGAGCGAACAGG
rnacentral:rRNA from 1 species